UCAGGUCUUUUGUACAGACUUCGCCUGGCUGUUUUUUUCUAACCACUUCAUUUAUCCAUCAUCGUACAGUACCGUGGACAGGGAAGGCAAGUAACCAGAUUGCUUUGAAACCAGAUGACACAGCAAACCAGUAGACUAGGCAAGCAGAGGAAAUGUACAUGCAGUGUAUCUAUUACCUUUCUUCCUUUAUUGAGACAAGAAAGCUACACUAUGCAGUCUUCUGUGCUCUAAGAAACAGAAUUCCAGAGCUGCCAUGGGGCAACUAGCCUUUUGAUCUGUCUUUUUUUGGAUACUCUUCUCAUUCUAAGACAAUAAGUGUAAAAUUUUGUUUCCAUUGGAGGCAGAGGAAAUAAACUGCAGGAGCAAUGUUGAUGCUGGAUCCUUGGGCUUACAGUGUUUGCUUGAGACAUCACAUGUGUGGAGCUUGCAGGGAAAAGCUUAAGUGUUUUGCUGACUUGCUGAGGACAGCAUGACAUCACCAACGCUGCAAAGUACCGGUUGCUGAUCACCCUGCUCUCCCACUGACUUCAGUAGGGGAAGGGCCUUUCAGAGUGAACCAUGGUGAACAUGAGAAAAAGAGGCCCUUGAAUAUUUCUGGAGGUCAAAUAAUCAGUUUCGUAAAAGAACACAAAUUCUUAUUCAUUCCAGGGUUCUCUCUGGAAACCCAAGGAGUAUUAUUGUUUGUCAUCAUAUAAUUGCGAAUUCUAAAAUGCUAUUGGAGCAGAGCAGGUGAUUCUCGCUGCUAUCAUAAAUUGGGAAAAGUCUGGAGACUCUGCUGCAAAUAAACUGAAACAUGUUUUGUAAGCAGAUGAAAAGAGGGUUUAUCUGAUGGCAUCAAGACUUAAGUUUAAUAUUUCAUUAUACUGUAGAACAGGGGUGGGCAAACUAUGGCUCGGGGGCUGCAUCCGGCCCUUCAGACAUUUUAAUCUGGCCCUCGAGCUACAGCAUCCAGGGCUUGCCCCGCUCCUGCCAGGGAGCAGGAUUGGGGGCUUGCCUGGCUCCAUGCAUGCCAGGUCUCCGGGUGGCUCCUGGAAGCAGCAGCAUGUCCCUCCUCCACCUCCUACACAUAGGGGCAGCCAGGGGGCUCCGCACGCUGCCCUCACAGCUCCCAUUGCCUGGCAACUGCGGUCCAAUGGGAGCUGCAGGGGCAGCGCCUGCAGACGGCAGCAUGCAGAGUCUCCGGGCUGCACCUCUGCAUAGGAGCCGGAGGGGGGACAUGCCGCUGCUUCCAGGAGCUGCUUGAGGUAAACACCGGCCGGAGCCUGCACCCCAACCCCCUCCCGUGCCCCAACCGCCUGCCCCAGCCCUGAUCCCCUUCCUGCCCUCCGAACCCCUCGGUCCCAGCCCAGAGCACCCUCCUGAACCCACAACCCCUCAUUCCCAAUCCUACCCCAGAACUCAGACCCCCAGCCGAAGCCCUCACCCCCUCCCAACCCCCAAUUUCGUGAGCAUUCCUGGCCACCAUACAAUUUCCAUACCCCAAAAAAAUUUGCCCACCCCUGCUGUAGAAGCAUGACCACAGUAAUAUACAUCCUGUGACAGCUUUGUGUAUAUUCCUUGUAGCGGACAAAGUUUUGUUCUGUUUUUUUCAUAUCAACAGGUCAUUAAAUGAUUUAUUUUUAUGAUUAGUCAUUCAUAUGGUUGACAAGUUUAGGAACCACUGUUAACUGACAUCUUUUGAAAGACAGUACAAAAACUGUUCAACUUUAACAUGUUAGACUGCAACAUGGACAGGCAACUUGUUUCACUUUGCAAAAGAAUCUGCCCUCCUUCAUUAAUAUUUUAUAAGGUCAAUUUUGUUUCUGGUCUUACUAGAGGAUUUAUAAUAGUUUGGCUAACUAACUGGAUCACUCGGGUGUAUCCAGUGCAACAACAUUGUACUAAAAUGUAGGUGUGUAACAAGUGAUUACAAUAAACCUCUUAAUUCA